rnacentral:snoRNA from 1 species
AGACCGUGAUGGGGACAACGUCUAAGUUUUUCUUUAAAACGUUCCCAUACAUCGAAAAGAGAUUCCCCGUUCUUUUGAGUAAAUUGGUAAAGCUUUCCCCUAAGUUG